rnacentral:rRNA from 1 species
GUCGCACGCGAAAGGGGGCAACCCCGAGUAGAGUGGCGGACGGUGCGUAACGCGUAGGAAUAUACCUGGUAGUGGGGGACAACCCGGCGAAAGCCGGGCUAAUACCGCAUACGAUCUACGGAUGAAAGCAGGGGACCGCAAGGCCUUGCGCUAUCAGAUUAGCCUGCGUCGGAUUAGCUAGUUGGUGAGGUAAAGGCUCACCAAGGCAACGAUCCGUAGCUGGUUUGAGAGAACGACCAGCCACACUGGGACUGAGACACGGCCCAGACUCCUACGGGAGGCAGCAGUGGGGAAUAUUGGACAAUGGGGGCAACCCUGAUCCAGCAAUGCCGCGUGUGUGAAGAAGGCCUUCGGGUUGUAAAGCACUUUCGAUGGGGAAAAACAAGCCAGACCUAACACGUCUGGCCCUGAUGGUACCCAGAGAAGAAGCACCGGCUAACUCUGUGCCAGCAGCCGCGGUAAUACAGAGGGUGCAAGCGUUAAUCGGAAUUACUGGGCGUAAAGGGUGCGUAGGUGGUUUGUUAAGUCAGGCGUGAAAUCCCUGGGCUCAACCUGGGAACUGCGUUUGAUACUGGCAGACUCGAGUCUGGUAGAGGGUAGUGGAAUUCCGCAUGUAGCGGUGAAAUGCGUAGAUAUGCGGAGGAACAUCAGUGGCGAAGGCGGCUACCUGGACCAAGACUGACACUGAGGCACGAAAGCGUGGGGAUCAAACAGGAUUAGAUACCCUGGUAGUCC